CCAUAAAGUACUGUACAAAUGUCACAUACAAAUUAAAGUUGUGUUUCAUGCUCUGUCAGUAGAAAUAAAUAAAUAAUAAUAACAAGAACAUAAAAUUCUGUACAGAGAAAUUCUGACAUUAUGGUUUGAUAAUAUUUUUCUGGUUUUCUUGUUAAGAUAUCUGAAGAAUUUAAUCAGAUCACGAGCAAGGACCUCCUCUGGACUUUCAAUGCAUCCCUUGGCAAAUUUGGGCCUGGACUGCUGAAAAUCUACAGGUCUAAGAAAGAAGCUUUUGGUCAGGAGAUGGAGGAGCUCCUUGAUCAACAUGAUUACCAGGACACUAACAUUUUGGCACCAGUGGUGCAAGGUGUGUCUGUUGCCAUCCUCACUGUGCUACAUGAUGAUGAAGCCGACAACACUGUGCGAGACCAGGGGGUUGUGUUGGAAGAGGACACUGUUCUUCAUAAUAUUCCAAACAUGGGGAAAAUAAUCAUAAUUUACAUGUUCAGUGAGCCUAGUAUUGGUUUCAAAUACUCAGGAAGAUUCACCCCAAAUGUUAUUAGACUAUACGGUAUGCAUGUUGUUUUUUACACAUGUUGUAUGUAUGAUGAUUUUCCUGUGUUCACUGGUAAACUGAAUAAAACAUUUCAGAUAACA